CCUAAGUUUCCACUCCAUUGAGUGUUCACAGUGGUGCAGUUAAACUGAAUCCAUUCUGGUAAACAUCUACAGUGCGGCAUCUUUGGCAUGUUUGCCCUUCGUUCCUCAUAGGGAUGGCCUGAUGCUGAUGCAAGCUGGUGGCAGAAUCUAACAAGAGGCGGAAAAAAAAGAGAUUAAAAUGAACUGCCACAUUAUCUUGUCAGGUGAGCCGAGGAGAGUGAGUGGUAUGUGUAGCUUCAACUGCUCAAAUACACUAGGCCGCUGACCACAACAUAGCAGCUCACCAAACCCAGGGCAAAAGAAAGCAAAAGCUGUAUGCGUGCCCUUGGUCAAGGGAAAGCUUUUGCAUCCAUGUCUCGUCUCCUCUGCUCCACGAAUGAAUUGAGCAGGUUUAACUAACAAUUCAACAUGCUUCGAUCUUGUUUUUCCUGCUACUUUGUUCUCUUGCAAUCAUCAUCUGCGAGACCCAUGUUUUAUAGUUGGAGGCUUAUAUUUGAUUAAUAAGAGAAUAAGAAUGGAUUGAUAUUUGUAUGUUC